rnacentral:lncRNA from 1 species
CAGAGAUGAGCUGUCAGGCUGGAAAACUGCCGGAUCCGAGUUACUGAGCAGCCACUCCAGCUCAGAAAGCGAGUAUCUCUCUGGUAUCUGCGGGAAAUAAAGCAGAGAUUCAGAAGUGCCGCGAGACGCCUGUAGUGCAGAGUUCAGGAGCAUAUGCGAUCGUCCACAUAUGAUGCCCGCCAUCAUGGCCAGACAGAGAAGAGUUGCUGUCAGGUGGAGUUGCGAGGAGGCCAUUUCUGCUGCUUCUUUAACUCAGAACUCUGCUCCCUAAGUGUCUCUUUCUACUCCUCUGAAUGGUAUUUUAUAGUGGCACCUCCACGGGUGGAAAAGAAACGAGUUACGCAUUGAGAUGUUGACAUAUUAAUAAAUUCCAGCUGGCAAAUGUAGCUUCCAUUACAUCUCAUUUCCCAUCUUUAGAGAGGUCAAACGAUGGUGUCUACUCAUAAAGAGCUUCCAUUUUAAGCGGGAACCCCAAUAAAGCACUUAUUGCAUUGAUUUGUUGCUAGAGUGACCUUCCUGCUGUUGCUUCUGGGCCGUAAAUUUUUGUUGGUCAUCAAUGGUGAAUGGAUGUUACCUGGAAACAAAUCAAAGUAAAGAAACGUUCUCUG